rnacentral:rRNA from 1 species
UACAGAGGGUGCAAGCGUUAAUCGGAUUUACUGGGCGUAAAGCGUGCGUAGGAGGCUGCGUAAGUCGGUUGUGAAAUCCCUGGGCUCAACCUGGGAAUUGCUUCCGAUACUGCGUGGCUAGAGUUCGGUAGAGGGUGGCGGAACUCCCGGUGUAGCGGUGAAAUGCCGUAGAUAUCGGGAAGAACACCGAUGGCGAAGGCAACCACCUGGGCCUGAACUGACUCUGAGGCACGAAAGCGUGGGGAGCAAACAGG